GACGAACGCUGGCGGCGUGCUUAACACAUGCAAGUCGAACGGAAAGGCCCUGCUUUUGUGGGGUGCUCGAGUGGCGAACGGGUGAGUAACACGUGAGUAACCUGCCCUUGACUUUGGGAUAACUUCAGGAAACUGGGGCUAAUACCGGAUAGGAGCUCCUGCUGCAUGGUGGGGGUUGGAAAGUUUCGGCGGUUGGGGAUGAACUCGCGGCUUAUCAGCUUGUUGGUGGGGUAGUGGCCUACCAAGGCUUUGACGGGUAGCCGGCCUGAGAGGGUGACCGGCCACAUUGGGACUGAGAUACGGCCCAGACUCCUACGGGAGGCAGCAGUGGGGAAUAUUGCACAAUGGGCGGAAGCCUGAUGCAGCAACGCCGCGUGCGGGGUGACGGCCUUCGGGUUGUAAACCGCUUUCGCCUGUGACGAAGCGUGAGUGACGGUAAUGGGUAAAGAAGCACCGGCUAACUACGUG
rnacentral:rRNA from 1 species